GAUGAACGCUGGCGGCGUGCCUAAUACAUGCAAGUCGAGCGAACGGACGAGAAGCUUGCUUCUCUGAUGUUAGCGGCGGACGGGUGAGUAACACGUGGAUAACCUACCUAUAAGACUGUGAUAACUUCGGGAAACCGGAGCUAAUACCGGAUAAUAUUUUGAACCGCAUGGUUCAAAAGUGAAAGACGGUCUUGCUGUCACUUAUAGAUGGAUCUGCGCUGCAUUAGCUAGUUGGUAAGGUAACGGCUUACCAAGGCAACGAUGCAUAGCCGACCUGAGAGGGUGAUCGGCCACACUGGAACUGAGACACGGUCCAGACUCCUACGGGAGGCAGCAGUAGGGAAUCUUCCGCAAUGGGCGAAAGCCUGACGGAGCAACGCCGCGUGAGUGAUGAAGGUCUUCGGAUCGUAAAACUCUGUUAUUAGGGAAGAACAUAUGUGUAAGUAACUGUGCACAUCUUGACGGUACCUAAUCAGAAAGCCACGGCUAACUACGUG
rnacentral:rRNA from 1 species